rnacentral:rRNA from 1 species
GAAUCGCUAGUAAUCGUGGAUCAGAAUGGCACGGUGAAUACGUUCCCGGGCCUUGUACACACCGCCCGUCACACCAUGGGAGUGGACUGCACCAGAAGUGGUUAGCCUAACUUCGGAGGGCGAUCACCACGGUGUGGUUCAUGACUGGGGUGAAGUCGUAACAAGGUAGCCGUAGGGGAACCUGCGGCUGGAUCACCUCCUUAA